rnacentral:misc_RNA from 1 species
AAUUUACUUUUUGUGUUAUAGCUCUGGUGUAAAAAAACAACAGCAAGGUUUAAUCCUGUAUCUUCUGCUCAUUAUUUAUAUGAAUGAAAAUUCAAUAUCUGAAAGUGAUUUAUGGAACGCUUUGGUCCCACUUGGAAUAAAGCCCAGCACUCAGAAGUCACAUCCCAUAUUUGGAGAUGUUCAGAAGUACAUUAACUCUGAACUUGUUAAACAAAUGUACAUAGAUCAUGUAUGUAUCAGUAAAGAUCCACUUAAUUAUGAGUAUCGAUGGGGACCACGAGCCGAAUCAGAAGUAGAUAAAUCAGAUCUCCUUCAGUUCGCUUGCUUAGUCUUAGAUAAGAAACCAGAAGACUGGAUCUUGCAGUACAAAGAUGCUACGGAAUCUGCUGAAACACAAGAUAGUGUUGAAAAUAGUUAAAUAUGUGGAGCAAUGUAAGGAGGAGUGAGACAUAUUACUGAAAUGAAGCUCCUGAUUCCAGUUUCGCAACCAGAAGAAGCUUUGCCUUUUGCAUCAGCGUUUACAGCAGAGUGGUCUGUCCGCAAGACGUCCAUUGCUUCGUCUACCCUUGACACAGAACCACAGACAUCUCCGCCGCCAAUGAUGUGACGAAAGAAGGAUGUGGACAGCAGAAUGGAAUGAAAUUUGUCUUUACUGAUGAGUCACGCUUCUGUCUGCAACACCAUGAUGGUCGGAUUCGAGUCUGGAGACACUGUGGAGAGAGGAUGCUGAUCAGC